UACGUAGGGUCCGAGCGUUGUCCGGAAUUACUGGGCGUAAAGGGCUCGUAGGCGGCCAACUAAGUCCGACGUGAAAUCCCCAGGCUUAACCUGGGAACUGCGUCGGAUACUGGUUGGCUUGAAUUCGGGAGAGGGAUGCAGAAUUCCAGGUGUAGCGGUGAAAUGCGCAGAUAUCAGGAAGAACACCCGUGGCGAAGGCGGCUCUCUGGGACGGUACUGACGCUGAGACGCGAAAGCGUGGGGAGCAAACAGG
rnacentral:rRNA from 1 species